UACGGAGGGAGCUAGCGUUGUCCGGAAUUACUGGGCGUAAAGCGCACGUAGGCGGCUUUGUAAGUUAGAGGUGAAAGCCCGGAGCUCAACUCCGGAACUGCCUUUAAGACUGCAUCGCUUGAAUCCAGGAGAGGUGAGUGGAAUUCCACGUGUAGCGGUGAAAUGCGUAGAGAUGUGGAGGAACACCAGUGGCGAAGGCGACUCUUUGGCCUGUAACUGACGCUGGAGGCGCGAAAGCGUGGGGAGCAAACAGG
rnacentral:rRNA from 1 species